UCUUGUUUCUUAGUGAAUCUCUGAGUAAAAAACAAAAAUGAAUCAAAACUUUCAACAACGGAUCUCUUGGUUCUGGCAUCGAUGAAGAACGCAGCGAAAUGCGAUAAGUAAUGUGAAUUGCAGAAUUCAGUGAAUCAUCGAAUCUUUGAACGCACAUUGCGCCCCCUGGUAUUCCG
rnacentral:rRNA from 1 species